rnacentral:rRNA from 1 species
CCUACGGGAGGCAGCAGUGGGGAAUAUUGCGCAAUGGGCGAAAGCCUGACGCAGCGAUGCCGCGUGAGUGAUGAAGGCCUUCGGAUCGUAAACCUCUGUCAGCAGGGAAGAACGGGCACUGUGCUAUACAGCAGUGAAUUGACGGUACCUGCAGAGGAAGCACCGGCUAACUCCGUGCCAGCAGCCGCGGUAAUACGGAGGGUGCGAGCGUUAAUCGGAAUUACUGGGCGUAAAGCGCUCGUAGGCGGUAUGUCAAGUCAAGGGUGAAAUCCCCGGGCUCAACGUGGGAACUGCAUUUGAGACUGGCAGGCUUGAGUGUGGGAGAGGGUGGUAGAAUUCCAGGUGUAGGAGUGAAAUGCGUAGAGAUCUGGAGGAACAUCGGUGGCGAAGGCGGCUAUCUGGAACAAAACUGACGCUGAGGUGCGAAGGCGAGGGGAGCGAAAGGGAUUAGAUACCCUUGUAGUC